UAAAGUAAAAAAAAGAACGUGCGCAAACACGUUCUCUAUAGAACCGUUUAAGACGGUAGCAAGUGUUCAAAAUAAUUCGUCA
rnacentral:sRNA from 1 species